UACGGAGGGUGCGAGCGUUGUCCGGAAUCACUGGGCGUAAAGGGCGCGUAGGCGGUGCGACAAGGCGGCGGUGAAAGUCCGGGGCUCAACCCCGGAUCGGCCGUGGCGACUGUCGCGCUCGAGCACAGUAGAGGCGGGUGGAAUUCCGGGUGUAGCGGUGGAAUGCGUAGAGAUCCGGAAGAACACCGGUGGCGAAGGCGGCCCGCUGGGCUGUGGCUGACGCUGAGGCGCGACAGCGUGGGGAGCAAACAGG
rnacentral:rRNA from 1 species